rnacentral:rRNA from 1 species
GUGGAUUAGAUACCCUGGUAGUCCACGCCGUAAACGAUGGUCACCAGGUGUGUGCGGUAUCGACCCCGCACGUGCCGUCGCUAACGCUUUAAGUGACCCGCCUGGGGAGUACGGCCGCAAGGUUGAAACUCAAAGGAAUUGACGGGGGCCCGCACAAGCGGUGGAGCAUGUGGAUUAAUACGUCACUAACCGUAGAACCUUACCCAGGCUUGACAUCUGUGGAAUCCCCUUGAAAGGGGGGAGUGCCUCGCAAGAGGAGCCGCAAGACAGGUGUUGCAUGGUCGUCGCCAGCU